AGACAAUCUUUCCUUUCUUUUUUGUGUUAACUAAUUUGUUCCACCCUCAAACAGUUUCUGAAAAGGUCCCGGGGACCCCAACAUCUCUCCAUGCCAGAACCAUCGGUGCAGGCGGAUGCCAGAGUUUCCCAGACAGAUGGGGAAACCAACAUGGGACAAUUCAAACAGGAAGUGACCAGAGCCCAAGUCACUGCUUCAGCUGACUCCUGUGGCUGUUCCUUUCUUCUCCAUGACAAAAGAGCUACAUUUUCUCAGGACUGGGUGCCACCUGCCAGGACUAGAAGCCCUGUACCCCAUGACUGAGGAUGGGAGCAAUUCAGGGUCUCCCACGCCACACUGGUGCCACUGUGUCACCUCCACCCCAAUCAGAGGUCAUAUUAAGUGACUCAUUUCUUCACGGGUUCCUUGUCUGUCUCUGCCCACGAAGAGAUUGGCUCCACAAGUCGACAGCCCAGUUUAUAUCUCAUCCAUCAUCCUUUAGACAAUGACUGAGACACAGCUUAGAACUCACUCCCUGUUUGUUGAUGAAACCAAUAAACAAAUGGUCUGCC
rnacentral:lncRNA from 1 species